CCCUUAGAUGUUCUGGGCCGCACGCGUGCUACACUGAGUAAAUCAAUGGGUAAGGGAACACGAAAGUGCAACCUAAUCUUGAAAUUUGCUCGUGAUGGGGAUCGACGGUUGCAAUUUUCCGUCGUGAACGAGGAAUACCUUGUAGGCGCGUGUCAUCAUCACGCGCCGAAUACGUCCCUGCCCUUUGUACACACCGCCCGUCGCUCCUACCGAUUGAGUGAUCCGGUGAGGCUCUGGGACCUGGACGGAAAGAGCGUUUCGCUUGUUCUGUUUGGGAAACUCAGUCGAACCUUAUCAUUUAGAGGAAGGAGAAGUCGUAACA
rnacentral:rRNA from 1 species